GGCUCAGGACGAACGCUGGCGGCGUGCCUAAUACAUGCAAGUCGAGCGGACAGAUGGGAGCUUGCUCCCUGAUGUUAGCGGCGGACGGGUGAGUAACACGUGGGUAACCUGCCUGUAAGACUGGGAUAACUCCGGGAAACCGGGGCUAAUACCGGAUGGUUGUUUGAACCGCAUGGUUCAAACAUAAAAGGUGGCUUCGGCUACCACUUACAGAUGGACCCGCGGCGCAUUAGCUAGUUGGUGAGGUAACGGCUCACCAAGGCGACGAUGCGUAGCCGACCUGAGAGGGUGAUCGGCCACACUGGGACUGAGACACGGCCCAGACUCCUACGGGAGGCAGCAGUAGGGAAUCUUCCGCAAUGGACGAAAGUCUGACGGAGCAACGCCGCGUGAGUGAUGAAGGUUUUCGGAUCGUAAAGCUCUGUUGUUAGGGAAGAACAAGUACCGUUCGAAUAGGGCGGUACCUUGACGGUACCUAACCAGAAAGCCACGGCUAACUACGUGCCAGCAGCCGCGGUAAUACGUAGGUGGCAAGCGUUGUCCGGAAUUAUUGGGCGUAAAGGGCUCGCAGGCGGUUUCUUAAGUCUGAUGUGAAAGCCCCCGGCUCAACCGGGGAGGGUCAUUGGAAACUGGGGAACUUGAGUGCAGAAGAGGAGAGUGGAAUUCCACGUGUAGCGGUGAAAUGCGUAGAGAUGUGGAGGAACACCAGUGGCGAAGGCGACUCUCUGGUCUGUAACUGACGCUGAGGAGCGAAAGCGUGGGGAGCGAACAGGAUUAGAUACCCUGGUAGUCCACGCCGUAAACGAUGAGUGCUAAGUGUUAGGGGG
rnacentral:rRNA from 1 species